AUUGAACGCUAGCGGGAUGCUUUACACAUGAAAGUCGAACGAGUGGCGGACGGGUGAGUAAUAUAUAGGAAAGUGCAUGGUAGCGGGGGAUAACUACUCGAAAGGGUGGCUAAUACCGCAUACCAUUAGAGCGGACGAUAUCGGAUUAGCGUUUUGGUGGGGUAAAGGCUCACCAAGGCAACGAUACUUAGCUGGUAUGCGAGGACGACCAGCCACACUGUGACUGAGACACGGCCCAGACUCCUACGGGAGGCAGCAGUGGGGAAUUUUGCACAAGGGGGGAAACCCUGAUCCAGCCAUCCCGCGUGUAUGAGAAGGCCUUCGGGUUGUAAAGUACUUUUAGCAGAGAAGCGGUAUCUGCAGAAGAAGCACCGGCUAACUACGUGCCAGCCGCCGCGGUAAUAC
rnacentral:rRNA from 1 species